AACCGGGCGACCUACCCAUGAGCAGGAUGAAGCGAAAGUAAAAUUUCGUGGAGGUCCGAACCCACGAGCGUUGAAAAGCUCGGGGAUGACUUGUGGGUAGCGGUGAAAUUCCAAUCGAGCCCGGAGAUAGCUGGUUCUCCCCGAAAUAGCUUUAGGGCUAGCCUCAAGGUGAGAGAUACGGAGGUAGAGCACUGAAUGUCCUAGGGGGUAUUGCACCUACCGAAGACUAUCAAACUCCGAAUGCCGUCAUCUUAUACUUGGGAGUCAGACUGUGGGUGAUAAGAUUCAUAGUCGAAAGGGCAACAGCCCAGAUCGUCAGCUAAGGUCCCUAAAUGUAAGUUAAGUGGUAAAGGAUGUGGGAUUGCACAGACAACCAGGAUGUUGGCUUAGAAGCAGCCACUCAUUCAAAGAGUGCGUAAUAGCUCACUGGUCGAGUGAUCCUGCGCCGAAGAUUUCCGGGGCUAAAACUUACUACCGAAGCUACGGCAUCAGUAAUGAUGGGUAGGGGAGCUUCCCAUACGGGUUGAAGCAUGACCGUAAGGACAUGUGGACAGUAUGGGAGUGAGAAUGUUGGCAUGAGUAGCGAGAUGUGGGUGAGAAUCCCACAGGCCGUAAACCCAAGGUUUCCAGGGGAAGGUUCGUCCGCCCUGGGUUAGUCGGGACCUAAGCUGAGGCCGAAAGGCGUAGGUGAUGGACAACAGGUUGAUAUUCCUGUACUACCGAUAACCGUUUGAGAGAAGGGAUGACACAGUAGGAUAAGCUAAGCACACUGUUGGUUAUGUGUGCCCAAGCAUUGAGGCAGUCAAAGUAGGCAAAUCCGCUUUGAUAAUGCUGGGAUGUGAUGGGGAGCGAAAUUUAGUAGCGAAGUAGCUGAUUUCACACUGUCAAGAAAAGUCUCUAUCGAGGUUAAAGGUACCCGUACCGCAAACCGACACAGGUGGGUGAGGAGAGUAUCCUAAGGCCAGCGAGAGAACUGUUGUUAAGGAACUCGGCAAAAUGACCCCGUAACUUAGGGAUAAGGGGUGCCACCAUCAGGUGGCCGCAGAGAAUAGGCCCAAGCGACUGUUUACCAAAAACAUAGGUUUCUGCUAAGUCGCAAGACGAUGUAUAGGAGCUGACGCCUGCCCGGUGCUGGAAGGUUAAGGGGAUCUGUUAGAGCAAUCGAAGCAGUGAACUUAAGCCCCAGUAAACGGCGGCCGUAACUAUAACGGUCCUAAGGUAGCGAAAUUCCUUGUCGGGUAAGUUCCGACCCGCACGAAAGGCGUAACGAUUUGGGCACUGUCUCAACAACAGACUCGGUGAAAUUGUAAUUCCGGUGAAGAUGCCGGAUACCUGCGACAGGACGGAAAGACCCCAUGGAGCUUUACUGUAGCUUGACAUUGGGUCUUGGUACUACAUGUACAGGAUAGGUGGGAGGCUUUGAAACCAGGACGCCAGUUUUGGCGGAGCCAUCCUUGGGAUACCACCCUUGUAGUACUGGGACUCUAACCAUAGGCCAUGAAUCUGGUCUUGGGACACUGUCAGGUGGGCAGUUUGACUGGGGCGGUCGCCUCCCAAAAGGUAACGGAGGCGCUCAAAGGUUCUCUCAGUACGGUCGGAAAUCGUACGUAGAGUGUAAAGGCAAAAGAGAGCUUGAUUGCAAGACAUACAGGUCGAGCAAGGAUGAAAAUCGGACUUAGUGAUCCGGUGGUUCUGCGUGGAAGGGCCAUCGCUCAACGGAUAAAAGCUACCCUGGGGAUAACAGGCUUAUCUCCCCCAAGAGUCCACAUCGACGGGGAGGUUUGGCACCUCGAUGUCGGCUCAUCACAUCCUGGGGCUGUAGUAGGUCCCAAGGGUUGGGCUGUUCGCCCAUUAAAGUGGUACGCGAGCUGGGUUCAGAACGUCGUGAGACAGUUCGGUCCCUAUCCGUCGCAGGCGUAGGAAAUUUGAGAAGACCUGUCCUUAG
rnacentral:rRNA from 1 species